rnacentral:rRNA from 1 species
UACGUAGGUGGCAAGCGUUGUCCGGAAUUACUGGGCGUAAAGCGUGCGCAGGCGGUUUGUUAAGUCCGUUGUGAAAGCCCCGAGCUCAACUUGGGAAUUGCAGUGGAUACUGGCAGGCUGGAGUACGGUAGAGGAAGGUGGAAUUCCCGGUGUAGCAGUGAAAUGCGUAGAUAUCGGGAGGAACACCAGUGGCGAAGGCGGCCUUCUGGACCAGUACUGACGCUCAUGCACGAAAGCGUGGGGAGCAAACAGG